UGCGGCCAGGCCCACCGGGUGGCCGCGGUGCGCACCCAGGACCGGGCAGAGCGCGCACACGCAGCGGCCGCAGCGGCGACAGAAGAGUUCAGCCGGGCGUUCGCUGUGCUCCGGACAGCGCCAGACACAUGCCCCGUCGGGCUGAACGGGCGCCCGCGCCUCGGUACAAGGAAUUUAAGAAACAUUCAAACAAUCACUCAAACGACUUCAGGCACGGUUUCGUAUGAAAAGCAUAGGUCCAUUCCUUGAUUCCUGUUUCCCUCUGGGACACAACCUCAAGUUUUGCUCCAGGAAGCAUAAUUAUUGUAGAGCUAAGAGCCUAGCGGUGUCCCUGAGGGCAAGGGUGGAGGAGACCUCUGCUCAGAACUGUUUUAAGGCCGUCCGCAGGUUUUUGAUCUCCAGUUCCAGCUGCUUGGUCUGGAUUUCUCUCUGGAUUAACAGAUCCCGGAGCCUCCGGAUCUCCUCCUGUUGCCGGUAGAACAUCUGCAGCAGCUGUGAAUCGCAGUGAAGAGGGAGAGGUCAUCUGGGUGGCUGGGAUAGGCCACAGUGCAGAGGCUAAGUCACAGACUUUUGACUUGGUGACAGCGGUUAAAUUAUUAGCAAGGGACAGUCACUUCUAAGCCGUGACAGAAGCCUUGCUUGCUUUACCCAACAGUGAAGUUUAGGAUGAUGUAGUCAAUAUUAACAACGUAGCAGGAUCUAGAAUCACCUAUGGAGUUUCUAGAUUGACCCACCCUAACGGUGGGUAGCAUUAACAAAUGGGCUGGGAUCCUGGACUGAAGGCUGGGUGCCAGCGUCAGUCUCUGCCUACCUCUGUCUGCCUCUGGCUUGUGAAUGCCAUGUAACCCGCGGCCCUAAGCCUGCUGCCUUUUUCACCAUGCUGGGCUGUGUCCUGGAACUGUGAGCCCAAAUAAACUUCUUUUAAGUU
ensembl:processed_transcript predicted gene, 16731